GCUUUCGUUUCCCAUAGAAUGGAAAGUGAAACUCAGCCCGAGGCCGGCCGCGCGGGCCCGGAUCCUGGCCGAAAGUGAGGGGCGAGAGUGGCGUCGCAGGUGAACACCGGAGACGAGUCAUCAGUGCGUAUCUGGUACAUCUGUGUUGUGUGUUUUAGCGUGUAAAGAUGUGUACUAUGUUUUGAAUACUUGCCGUUUGUCGACAAUUCCAAGAAUAGAUGCCUCUUCUGCUAUCGUAAGAUCUAUGCAAUUGGGAUGAAUCUUACAAUCGUUUGGCAUUUCAUAGGAUAAAUGGCAGCGUAUCUUUCUUUCUUAAUGCUAUAACUUCUUAAAUUGUGUAUCUUAAAACCGGUGGCUUGUAGAAUCAGUGAAAUAGGCCACAUAUGUGUAAAGUCCUUAUCCUGUUUCUCUCUUGCUCUGCAGGAGCCCACAGAGGUGGGUCCACAUGGUGAGUGGUGGAGCAAAAGGGGGAAAAAAAGUGGAUUUUGGAUCGAAAGUUGGAGCUAUUCUUGUGGAUUCAUGACUCUCAAUAGGGAAAACGAACAUAUACAUAAAUUUGGAAUCCUUGGCUCCCAGGUAAAGUACUCCUGAUCAAGACCAGUCCCUUCCAUGUAACAGACAACUUCUGGAUCAAUCUCCUGUAGGAGGGGUAUUUGAGGGGACCCUGAAGAAUUUGGACCUGCAGAGAUGACCUUGGGGCAUUUUAGGUGGCAAGAGAACUAUGAACAAAGGCCUGGAGGCAGGAGAACAUAGGGCAGGUCCCACAAACUGCUCAGCUUGGAAUGUAAGCUCAUGAAGAACAGAGCAGAUGAGACAUCUGUGCCACCUACAACCAUCUUCUAUGAGGAGGAGAGCCUUUGUUUUGCAGAACAUCAAAAAAGGAAAUACUAGCAUCUCCCAGCCCUUUUCUAAUUCCAUUGCAAGAAAUCCUUCCCUUUAUCAAUGUUACAUUUUUCCUCUUUUCAUAUUAGUCAUUUCUUUUUGCUUUGCUCUCAGAGGACUAAGAGCAGCUGAUCACUAGAAAAAGCUUUGCAGCCUUAAAAAUCAUUUUGAAGUAUCACAAAACAGUAACGCUGGCAUAUUAGCUAGGAAGAGAGCUGAUAUGGGCCAGCCGUGCAUGCCAGGUGAAAACCUAAGACCAAUCCGUAUUCACCUGACCACCUGUGAGGCCAAAUGCCACACGGUUGCUUUUGGGAAGCGUAUUAUUACAGCAAAUCAUUUCCAGUUGUCAGGCUGAGAGAAUAAAUCACGUAUAUUUUUAGGACGGAGAUCAAGAUGGCAAGUAAAAAAGUAGAUCCGCAGUGUUACAGAGAGAUAAUUAAGGUAAGAAUGAAUGUGAUUCGUAAAAGAUCGCUUGGAUUAUCUUUGCUCAGAACCCUCCAAUUAGGGCAUAUUCAAAAUCGCUCAGAACAAAGAAUAGAUGGUAAGCCAGAAACAGCAAGAACAAAGAGUCGACCUAAAUUAACAUUGGUGCUUGAAUAUGGCCCAGGAAAAGGGCUCAUUUUAUAGGCACAGCAGUUAGGGCAACAACAGGGUUGACAGACAUGAGAUGGGCCUUAGAAAUGGCGGGGGUGUUGUGCUUGGUAAGUAGACUCCCAGUGUAAGAGGCCCCAUGAUGUCAAAAAGCCCUUGUGCUUUAGCUGACAUCAGGAGCAAGGGCAGGAGAUAAAUUAAGGAGUUUAAUCCAAUACAUACAGUGGCCACUCAAUUUUCCAUUCUCUUCCACAGCUCAUUAUCUGGGAGCAGUUCUAACAGGAGGACACCCACAGGGGAAAUGCCAGCCACAAAGGCCACAGAUAGUGCUGUUGGUCUCUUGGUGGCCCAGGGGGAAAGAAAGCAGUUGAUCCACUUCCUGCCCUCAAGAGCACCCCUUCCUCCCACGCAACCCCUAUCACUGGUCCUGUACUCACCAGUUAUUGCCUCCUCAAAA